UGGGGAAUAUUGGACAAUGGGCGCAAGCCUGAUCCAGCCAUGCCGCGUGAGUGAUGAAGGCCCUAGGGUUGUAAAGCUCUUUCACCGGUGAAGAUAAUGACGGUAACCGGAGAAGAAGCCCCGGCUAACUUCGUGCCAGCAGCCGCGGUAAUACGAAGGGGGCUAGCGUUGUUCGGAUUUACUGGGCGUAAAGCGCACGUAGGCGGACUUUUAAGUCAGGGGUGAAAUCCCGGGGCUCAACCCCGGAACUGCCUUUGAUACUGAAAGUCUUGAGUAUGGUAGAGGUGAGUGGAAUUCCGAGUGUAGAGGUGAAAUUCGUAGAUAUUCGGAGGAACACCAGUGGCGAAGGCGGCUCACUGGGCCAUUACUGACGCUGAGGUGCGAAAGCGUGGGGAGCAAACAGG
rnacentral:rRNA from 1 species